GACGUAGGGUGCAAGCGUUGUCCGGAUUUAUUGGGCGUAAAGAGCUCGUAGGCGGCUUGUUGCGUCGACUGUGAAAACCCGUGGCUUAACCGCGGGCUUGCAGUUGAUACUGGCAGGCUAGAGUUCGGUAGGGGAGACUGGAAUUCCUGGUGUAGCGGUGAAAUGCGCAGAUAUCAGGAGGAACACCGGUGGCGAAGGCGGGUCUCUGGGCCGAUACUGACGCUGAGGAGCGAAAGCGUGGGGAGCGAACAGG
rnacentral:rRNA from 1 species